ACAUGCAAGUCGUACGAAGUGGCCCAUUGAUGAUUGAGUGCUUGCACAAGAUUUGAUUUGGAUUCCCACUUAGUGGCGCAAGGGUGAGUAACGCGUAGGUUAUCUGCCUUCGAGUUUGGAAUAACAAUUAGAAAUGAUUGCUAAUGCCGGAUUAUAUUUAAGAUGAUACGUUGUCUUAAAUUAAAGGAGCCUUUAAAGCUUCGCUUGAAGAUGAGCCUGCGUCGUAUUAGCUAGUUGGUGGGGUAAUGGCCUACCAAGGCAACGAUGCGUAGCCGACCUGAGAGGGUGAUCGGCCACACUGGGACUGAGACACGGCCCAGACUCCUACGGGAGACAGCAGUUAGGAAUAUUCGUCAAUGGGGGAAACCCUGAACGAGCAAUGCCGCGUGAAGGAUGACGGUCCUUUGGAUUGUAAACUUCUGUUGUUAGGGAAGAACAAGCUGUAUAGGAAAUGAUACAGUUCUGACGGUACCUUUCAAGAAAGCUCCGGCUAACUACGUG
rnacentral:rRNA from 1 species